rnacentral:rRNA from 1 species
CGUGUAGGCGGUGCGGUAAGUUGGGCGUGAAAUCCCCGAGCUUAACUCGGGUGGGCCGUUCAAGACUGCCGUGCUAGGGUGCGGGAGAGGGAAGUGGAAUUUCCGGUGUAGCGGUGAAAUGCGUAGAUAUCGGGAGGAACACCUGCGGCGAAGGCGGCUUCCUGGACCGUAACCGACGCUGAGGCGCGAAAGCUAGGGGAGCAAACAGGAUUAGAUGCCCUGGUAGUCCUAGCCCUAAACGAUGAGCACUGGGUGUGGCCCCUCACGGGGCCGUGCCGAAGCUAACGCAUUAAGUGCUCCGCCUGGGGAGUACGGUCGCAAGGCUGAA